rnacentral:rRNA from 1 species
AGCAGCCGCGGUAAUUCCAGCUCCAAUAGCGUAUAUUAAAGUUGUUGCAGUUAAAAAGCUCGUAGUUGAAUUUCGGAAUCAGUACGCUGGUCGUGCCUCCGGUAUGUACUGGUGUCACUGAUUCCUCCCUUCUGACGAUCCAUCAUGCCAUUAAUUUGGUGUGGUGGGGAAUCAGGACUGUUACUUUGAAAAAAUUAGAAUGUUUAAAGCAGGCUCACGCUUGAAUACAUUAGCAUGGAAUAACGAAAUAGGACGUUGAUCCUAUUUUGUUGGUUUCUAGGAUUGACGUAAUGAUUAAUAGGGAUAGUUGGGGGCAUUAGUAUUCAAUUGUCAGAGGUGAAAUUCUUGGAUUUAUUGAAGACUAAACUACUGCGAAAGCAUUUGCCAAGGAUGUUUUCAUUAAUCAAGAACGAAAGUUAGGGGAGUCGAAGACGAUCAGAUACCGUCGUAGUCUUAACCAUAAACUAAUGCCGACUAGGGAUCGGAUGAUGUUAAUUUUAUUAAUUGACUCUAA